rnacentral:rRNA from 1 species
UACGUAGGGGGCGAGCGUUGUCCGGAUUUAUUGGGCGUAAAGCGCGCGUAGGCGGUUUAUUAAGUCCGAUGUGAAAACUCUCGGCUCAACUGGGAGACUGCAUUGGAAACUGGUAAGCUAGAGUCCAGCAGAGGGAAGUGGAAUUCCAAGUGUAGCGGUGAAAUGCGCAGAUAUUUGGAAGAACACCAGUGGCGAAGGCGGCUUCCUGGACUGCGACUGACGCUGAGGUGCGAAAGCUAGGGGAGCGAACAGG